CUUUAUAUAUGAUAAGGACAGCCACCCUCUCUCUUUGGGAAACUCCCAAUGGGGCCUGCUCCAAUCCCCAAAAAUAAUGGAGGCGGUGGCCUUUGAUCAGAUGGGAAAACAAUCAUCCUUUCCCUCUGCUUUUACACUCAGGAAGCGCUGGAUUGGACUUGCUCACUAGAAUAGAAGUUACGCUGUUGAAGAGAGAAGCUCCUCAAAAUGUCCCCACGGGAGUCUUCAGGCCCUUCCAACUGGGACCAUGGGACUAAUUUGGGGAAAAUCUGGACUAAAUGCUCCAAAGGAAGAACCAAUGCAGCUACCUGACCAGUUGGUGAAACCUUAUCUUGGCCUUUGGAGGAAGAGAUCUUACUCCACAGAUUCAGAACCUCUACUUGGAAAAGUAGAAAGACCCACCUCCCUUCCUGCUGCCAGAGGAAACUCAGGCUCCCUGGGUGACCUGGGGAAGCCAGAAAAGAAUGAGCCAAGGAGCAGAUGAAGUCCUUCAACACAUGGGACAAGAGAAGAU
rnacentral:lncRNA from 1 species